rnacentral:rRNA from 1 species
CAGCAGCCGCGGUAAUACAGAGGGUGCGAGCGUUAAUCGGAUUUACUGGGCGUAAAGCGUGCGUAGGCGGCUUUUUAAGUCGGAUGUGAAAUCCCUGAGCUUAACUUAGGAAUUGCAUUCGAUACUGGGAAGCUAGAGUAUGGGAGAGGAUGGUAGAAUUCCAGGUGUAGCGGUUAAAUGCGUAGAGAUCUGGAGGAAUACCGAUGGCGAAGGCAGCCAUCUGGCCUAAUACUGACGCUGAGGUACGAAAGCAUGGGGAGCAAACAGGAUUAGAGACCCCAGUAGUCCCUGUCUCUUAUAC